rnacentral:rRNA from 1 species
UACGAAGGGGGCUAGCGUUGCUCGGAAUCACUGGGCGUAAAGGGCGCGUAGGCGGCCAUUCAAGUCGGGGGUGAAAGCCUGUGGCUCAACCACAGAAUUGCCUUCGAUACUGUUUGGCUUGAGUUUGGUAGAGGUUGGUGGAACUGCGAGUGUAGAGGUGAAAUUCGUAGAUAUUCGCAAGAACACCAGUGGCGAAGGCGGCCAACUGGACCAACACUGACGCUGAGGCGGCGAAAAGCGUGGGGAGCAAACAGG